UACGGAAGGGGCAAGCGUUGUUCGGAAUCAUUGGGCGUAAAGGGCGCGUAGGUGGUUCUGUAUGUCUACCGUGAAAGCGUACGGCUCAACCGUAUUUUGUCGGUGGAAACUGCAGGACUUGAGGCUGGGAGGGGCUGGUGGAAUUCCCUGUGUAGCGGUGAAAUGCGUAGAGAGUGGGGGAGAACACUCGUGGCGAAGGCGGCCAGCUAGACCAGUUCUGACACUGAGGCGCGACAGCCGUGGGGAGCAAACAGG
rnacentral:rRNA from 1 species